rnacentral:lncRNA from 1 species
UUUGGAAUGGCAAAUGAUCUUUGGCUUCAACUUAAAGUCACCAGCUGCAUUAGCCCCUAACAAGAGAUUCAGCCUGUCAUUUGAAGCUUUGAAGCCAAGCAUUGACUUCUGCUCUCUCAUGAUCGGAGGUUUGAGGAGGGGAGGGCAGAAUGGCCUGUCAGUGGAUCAGACAGAACACAUACAACAUUUAUCGAUUAAGCUCACUGUUUUAUAUGGGCACAGUUCAUAGUACCCCAAAAUAAUUACAAUAGUAUUAUCAAAGAUCACUGAUUACAGAUCACCAUAACAGAUAGAAUAAUAAUCCAAAAGUUUGAAAUAGUACAAGUAUUACCAAAAUGUGACCCAGAGACAUGAACUGAGCACACACUUUUGGAAAAAUGCCACCAAUAGAC